rnacentral:rRNA from 1 species
UACAGAGGGGGCAAGCGUUGUUCGGAAUUACUGGGCGUAAAGGGCGCGUAGGCGGCCCGCUAAGUCGAACGUGAAAUCCCCGAGCUCAACUCGGGAACUGCGUCCGAUACUGGCGGGCUUGAAUCCGGGAGAGGGAUGCGGAAUUCCAGGUGUAGCGGUGAAAUGCGUAGAUAUCUGGAGGAACACCCGUGGCGAAGGCGGCACUCUGGGUCGGCCCUGACGCUGAGGCGCGAAAGCGUGGGGAGCGAACGGG